CAUCCUGUUCUUUGCGAUUUGAGCGUGGUGCACCGUAUGCCCUGUUUUUGUUGAACUUAUGGGACACCAGUAAAUCGUGGCGUUUGCUGUGAGGCUUCUCCCUAGUUUCAGAUCUCCGUGUGUCAUGCGUCCUGGCUCGUAGGGUGAUCAAGGCGCUCUUAUUGUAAUGUAUCGUUGCGGAAGGUGCCCUUGUGUUUUUAACACUCUGAUGGGCUACGUUGACCACUGUAGACAUGUACAUGAAGCGAGCAGAAUACCGUGUUGUCAUGCAUUAUGUGUGUACACGGCGGCGAACUAUGCAACACUCAGAUGUCACAUUUUGGGACGUUACAAGAACACAUCAGGACGGUCGCCUCGAAUCGAUUUGCUCUCCAAAACCACGAAAGUAUGUCACGUCCAUUCGUGCUCGCGUCAGUUCACUACGAAUAUAGAGAUAGUGUCACAUAUGAAGCAGCACAUACGAGAGGGUCAUGAUCAGAUGUCCUUAUGAACGCUGCCAGAAGAAGUUCCGUGCCGUCUCCGCGUUUUGUGUGCACCUUCAUAUGUUCUUCCAUUGAAAAAAUAAAACAGUGAGUAUAAUCUCCUUUCUCUUUGCAGUGUUUCGAUGCCAGAGCUGACUGAUGGGUGCACAUGGCUCCUUCGAAUGUUCUUCCUUUGAAAAAAUAAACAUGUUUUGAUGCCAGAGCUGACUGAUGGGUGCACAUGGUUCCUUCGAAUGUUCUUCCUUUGAAAAAAUAAACGGUGAGUAUAACUGCAUGUUAAUUGCCCUGCUCCCUGUAACAGUUUCCUUUCUCUUUGCAGAGUUUUGACGCCAGAGCUGACUGAUGGGUGCACAUGGUUCCUUCGAAUGUUCUUCCUUUGAAAAAAUAAACGGGUUUUGAUGCCAGAGGUGAUUGGCGCAUUUUCAUCACUAUGUACAUAGAAAAUAAAUCCCGAUGUGACAAACAUCACAAUGUGUUACGCAUGGUCAUUACUUAAACUGCUCUCAUUGCUACGACUGUAUGUAGAAAAAAAAAAAAAAGAGGGGUUCCAGGGAUGGGCACAGCACGAUAAGGGUACACUACAUAUGCCAGUUAAAAUUACUGGCCAAUGCAGUUUUUUUAACGACCACAGCACAGUAAUGCUACACGGCGUAUGCCUGUUAAAAUUACUGGCCAAUGCAGUAUUUUUCACGGGCACAACUUAUACGGGGCCACCGUAAAAAAAACGGCCAAUGUUUGGCAGCCAACUUU